rnacentral:misc_RNA from 1 species
GUUCAAUAAGUUAUGUAAUAUAGAAGGUGACAUAGCCAUUACCUUUUGGUUAUGUUCCUUUGCAUGAAGCUCAGCAUGAAGUCUACAAAGGGCUGUACCUGCAACUUUCCAUGCAAAACCACACUUUCUAACAUCGCCUAUAGCCUUCGCAUAAUCAUAAGUCACGCGAUAAAUAGCAAGUGCAUCGUUGUAUAUGUCCGUUGUACUCCUUAUGCUCUCCUCCAUAUCCGGUGCUUCAUAUAACAGCUGUUUGUACUUUUUAAUAACCUGGUCAGCUAAGUCAUUUUUCGAUUCACUGCUGGUGUUCAGUGCUUCCUUCAUCUCAAAUCUGUACUUUCUGUACCUUUCUUCCCAUAACCUCAAACAUGUCUCAGGGAUUCCAACCUCAAAAGCCGGAAGUUUCUUAAUUUCUACAGCAACUGGUUCUUCAGCUUUAAAUUUCUCAACUCGGUCAUAAAUUUCUCCUAAGACAGAGGUAGAGUGAUAACUUUCUUUCUUUUGCAAGAAAUGUGGAAACUUGUCUACUUUCAACCUCUUUGGGAUGUAGACCUUAUUCCCACUUUUUGGGGCGUCUAUAGCAUCAUAAUACAAAUCAAUCAACUCGAACAACUUUUCUUUCACUGACUUUGUCUCUUCAUUCUCUAUGGUGUUAUUUUUCCCCAAUAUCAGAAGUCUAUCCAUGAGUGCAUACCAGUUAGCAGAAGCAUCAGCCAUGCUAUAGUUUGGCAUCCUAGUUUCUAGAAAUGUCUGAAAGAGUUCAUGCUCCCUUUCCUCCGCAGAGAAGUUGUUGGGCUCCCUAUGCAAUGCCUUUGGUGUUGAAUGGAUUCGGCUCCACGGUCUACUUGCAGUGAAAUAUUUUAACAGCUGGGGGUUUUGAGAGAUCCAAUAUUUAUCUCCAUCAAAAUCACCAUUAGCAAUUUCAGUGGCCGCUGAUCUCGGACCUUUUGUGGAGAAAAAUAUUCCAUAUUUAGCAUUUCCAACUAUGUCUCCGAGGUUCUUCACAGGGACAGCAAGUAGCCUAUGGAUAUCACCAAAAUGAAGUCCAGGAUUCCUGUAUAUUAAUACCUCUCCAAAUAUUUGCCCAUGUUCAAGAAUAACACAGACUUCAUGGCGAUUUAAAGUAUCAGUGGGAUCAGCUGUCCCCAUUAGAUAGAAAGUAUCAGCAAUAGGAAGUCUUCCUCCCUUGAGCCCAUUUCUUUCUUCCUUUGCCAGGGAAGAUAAACAACACCAUAGAUACGGUUCAGUAAGAGGUACUCCAG